ACAACAGGAUGAUAGCUCUUAGGGUCAGCCUAAUAAGAAACCUCAUUAUUUCUGGUUUAGAACAUUUCAAAGCAACACCCAGGAACCUUCAGAAUGGUAAAAAAACAUUGAUGCUUAGCUAUGAGGCAUGAGGCAGGAGGAGUAAUACAAAGUGGACCUUUGCCCCAGGAUGAUGACUGAGGUAUGACUAGAAGGUUCUUCAUCCUCUCAAAGAGCAAACUUUUGUGGCAGUAACACAACCAGGCAAGAUGAGAGAAGCAGAUCAAAGAAACUAAAAACAGAGAAAGAAAUGGUGUAUCAUUUCACUGUGUACCCUGCAGGGAAAUAAAGGUUCUGCCCUACCUACCAAGAUCAUAUUGCCGUAGCAUCAAAAAGCC
rnacentral:lncRNA from 1 species